UAGGCUAUCAUUUGUUUUUCUUUUUUACUCUAAUUCCGUUGUCAUGUAUGUCUUCAGAUUUUAUUUUAUUUUUUAUUUUUUAAGGAGAAUAAAUUGUGGUUAGUUAUUCUUUCAAGUUCGGUACGUAAUUAAUCGAUUAGAAAAUAUAUAGUUGCCCUGUGCACAUCCAUUUCCACACUUUGAGCUUAGCAUGUGUUUUGUUUGUUGAGAACUUAGGUAAACUAACAUGCUGCGAAGACUUUGAAGUAGUUGGUUUGAAUGGUAGAUGGGGCGAUGGGGGAGUAGAAUUGAAGAUAUAUGCACGAUCCAUUUAAUUACUAACCAUAUAUCUACAAUCUCAUUACCUUAGUUACAUCACUAGUCCCAUCACCAGACAUUACUGAUGCCGGAGCUGGAUCCACCGCCUCCUGGCACACCGCUGCUGGCCCCGGCUCCUCCCUACCAUCGAGGAGGAUGCUUGGAACUAUGCUUGUGGCUUCUGUGCUGCUGUGGACUAUUUAGUUGCUGCUGCCCUCCACUCUUUGAGUCUGGGCCACCCCCACCUUAGCUAUGGUGCUGCAUUUUCUAUUUAGCUGACUUUUGUAUGGGUUAAACAUUGUGUGAGUGAUGAGAGGUAGCUAGAAAUGAUCCAAUAUAAAUCUCUGAUCUCAGUAUUCCAGUAGUUUUUUAUUUUUUUUGCAACUCAGUAUUCCAGUUUGGUUAGUUGGUCUCUGAUGUUAACCCAUUUAUAGGCGUUUGUUCCUCAGCUCUACUUUUUUAUGUAUUUUGAUUGGUACUUUGUACAUUGAUUUAUAGUUCUUUCUCAAUUCUGUUGUCUUUAUAUUGUAAUGCCCAUGGAAUUGCAGACAGUUCCUGUGAUUUUCUUUC